rnacentral:lncRNA from 1 species
UUCCAAAAUUCAGUUUUUUGGGACUUACAUCCGGUUCCGGUUCAAGCGCAGAUUAAUAGAACUACAGACUGAUAGCGUUACUGACGGAAUCUACAGCGUCUUGAGCUGAAUUAAGACUUCAGAAGUCAUUCGUCAUGUCGAAUGACCAGCGGAUAAACUCUCAGGUGAAGAGCCUGAGGCCGGUGACACUCCAGUUCUACUCUAAGUACAUCCUUACGGUGGCUCACAGGACAAGGCGACAUUCCUGUCCUGCCAGAAGAGAAGAGAAACUUCAGAGUCUUCAUGAAGUUCAACCAAAACCUGUCAUAUUCCAUAUGACAGGGGUCUCAAACUCCAUUCCUCGAAGGCCGGUGUCAUGCAACUUUUCCAUGCCCUCGAGGACUGGAGUUUGAGACCCCUGCCGUAUGGUGUUCAUGCAGUUUUCUACCCCACAGUUACAGCAUGUCUGACUGCCUGUUCAGCAUAUGCAAAAAUAUAUGAGUUUAAGCAUGUGAUGACUAAGGCCUUCCAUUAUGGUGUUUGUCAUCACAUGUCACAGACAUCUGGAUGAUCAUUUGGAAUAAACAAAAAAACUAAAAACUUGUUACUUCAUCUUUUAUCUUUAUUAUUAUUUUUCUUAUUUGACAUUUUUCAUUGUUAGGCAUUGGGUUUAUUUGUAGUAGUCCUUUCCAGCUUCUUUCCCUCUUCCAUGUUACUGUGUCAGCUUGUCAGCAUCUAUUUGGGGUUGGGAGUGGAACAGGAAGUAAGGAACAGAAAGUGCCAUUUAAACCAGGAGAGGUUCUUAUAUUUCAGAAGAAGGGAUUAAUUCAAAAGAAAUGACCUCAAUGCCAUAUUUUAUUUAGGAACCCUAGAGAGCACUUUGCAAAAUAACACAUUAUUAUAAUUUCACCCUCAGAUGAGCCAAGCUACGACUGUCAGGGAAGGUGAUGUAGGUACAGAGCAUGUGAGAGUGGUUAAGUUAAUGUCUCUUGUCUAGAUGAAGGCACAGGAGGGAUCAAUGGCACGGCGUAGAGAUUCAGUAUCUUCAGUCUUCAGUGGACACUCCAUUUCUGGCACAAAACACCUGUAAAAGAUGGUCGAUUUAGGAGGUGACCCGACAACUUCAGCCUGUCAAACAUAGCAAUGGAGCAGUAUGUUUAAAAAAAAAAAUCUAAUUAAGCAUGCACUCAGUACCCUAAGAAUUAUUAUGAUAGUUAAACACAGUGAUAGUUGUAUAUCAUAUUAUAUUACUUCAAACAGAGGUGAUCCAGUAAAGCUGCACUAAUGAAUAAGACUAACUAUUCACUUUAGCUAAAGUUAUUAAGUUCGCUAAAGAGUUGGGAUGCUGUGUAAGACAUAAAUAAAGCUCAAAUACAAAGGUUUGGACAGCGUUUUGCAUGUUUCCUUACUCUAGGGGUGUCUGCAAGCAUACAGGGCUCUGACAGGGUACAAGAUGACAACUUUGGAAUUCUACUAGAAACAGUCGAUCAUAUUUGUUUGUCAAAGCUGAAUCCAGGGCAAACUACGCUAAAUUAGCGUUUUUAGCUAGCAGCUACAAUAAGCAUAAAGGUUACUGUACGGCCAUCAUUUGUUAACAUGACGCUUGUUCUUAUACAUGUAAUACAUUUAUUACCAACCUGAGAGUUUAUCCGCUGGUCAUUCGACAUGACGAAUGACUUCUGAAGUCUUAAUUCAGCUCAAGACGCUGUAGAUUCCGUCAGUAACGCUAUCAGUCUGUAGUUCUAUUAAUCUGCGCUUGAACCGGAACCGGAUGUAAGUCCCAAAAAACUGAAUUUUGGAACUGAAAUUGAAUUGUACAACUGAAACUGAAUGGUGAGAAGUGAAUCUGAAAUUAUUCGAGAGCUGAAUUUUUAAAGGAUAAAAUGCAGUUUCAAAGCAAAUCAAUUCAUUUUCAAACCAUAAAUUCAAUUUCAAAUUAAACUAAUUCAAAUUCAGUUUUCAAAAGCUUUCAUUCAAGUUACAAUUCAGAUUCAAUCCGAGUAAUUCAAAUUCAAAUUUAACUUAUUCAAAUUCAGUUUCUGAUGGCACAGAUUUCUGCCCAUAGGGG